rnacentral:snRNA from 1 species
AUCAUUUUUGUAUAUAAUAAAAAAGAAAAAAAAAAUCUGUUCUUAUCAGUUAAUGUCUGAUACGUCCCUACCCGGGACCAUAUAUUAAAUUGAUUUUUGGAGCAGGGAGAUGGAAUAGGGGCUUGCUCCGUCCACUCCACGCAUCGACCUGGUAUUGCAGUAUUUCUAGAACGGUGCACCCCCU